UAUGUGGGCAUCAUGCAUGCUUCUGCCUCCUUGGUCUUGCUAUUUCUUCUAUGUGAAGAAGCUGUUAAACCUGCAUAUGAUGUCUGCUAUGCCUCAAAACAAUGUUGGUUUUGGUGUGUUAAAAGGAAUGCAGAAAUGACUUAGAAGUUAGCAUGCUGAUGUAAGAACAAGUUAGGUUCAAGCACAGCCAGCUGCAAGGGGCUAUUUCCAGAACAAUAUGAAAUAGUUCCUGGAUCAGGGCAAAGGCAGUGGGAGGGUGGAGGUGCAGGGUCUGGAUCCCAUCCAUUACAGUCCAGUGAGUCAUAAGGCACCAGCAGGAACUGGCUAGAGUUGGGAUCCAGGAACUGCCUGCUGAACCAACUGAUUUAAUAGAGAGCUCUACCAGACCAAAGUGAAAAGUCUCCAGGACAGCCCUGGCAGAAACUGAUGAAACAUCAGCUGGAUAAAACUGUACUCUUGGGAGAUGAUGCAUAUCAAAUUAACUUCACGUUUUUUCUUGCUAUCUAGCUAUCAUGGCAGCAACAGCAUAAGUUUGUGAGAUUUGUCUUUUCAUCGCCUAUGAAAUAAUUUGCUUUGUGUUUUAUAUUCACAGUGUAUAAACGUGAGUGAUGUGCUGCAUCAGUUGUGACUAAUAAAGUCUGUACUUGAGCCCUGUGUGUUUCUUGUAUGAAGGAUGCAUCGUAAUUAAUCAAGAUAAUGUGCAUUCUUUUAUUAACUCAUAUAACAAUAGCUCUGCAGAGGAUCUCUUAUUUUUUAGUAGACGUUAUGCUUCAGAGGCUGUCAUACCUUUUCUUGCAUUAUAGCUCAUUGCAUGUAUUUACAUCCUCCGGAUUGUACAGCCACUCAUUGUUCCAGUGUUUUGUCACUGAAUUCACAGACUCAUUAAUUAACAAGCCUAUUAUAUUAUUAUGGUUUUGGGAAGGCUGAUGAUUCAGCAACAAAAAUUACAGUGUUGAGCAUCUGUUCACAUUAAAGAGACAAGGUGCCCUAAAUCAGGGAGCAACAUUGUGGCAUCGAUGACCAUAGAGAAGUCCCCUUUUAAGAUAUCUCAAUUUACUGAAUCAAGAACACAAAGGAAGUUAUUCAACACAAUAAGAAAUCUACUCAGGAUAUUUGUGGUCAGACAUUUGAAUUCAUAUGAAGUAAUAUGGUUCAAACAUCAGCUGUCUCCAUUCUGUUGUGUAAUGAGAGAUGAUAUUUGAGGAGUAGAAGGCUGCUAGAAGAAAAGUGCAAUUUAUUUAACUUCGAUUCAGUAUUUGUAGGAUUAACUGAGUAAAACUUGAUAAACUGAGUAAAACUUGCAAAGAGUUUUGGGAGAGGGGAAAUUAACCCCAUAUUCAUUGACCAUUUGUAGUUGGAUGUUUGUAGGACAGGUAUAAAGAACAGCAUGUUGGUAUUCAUAUUUGGCAUCUCAUUGGUUAAAAUAAUAAUAAUAAUAAUAAUUUUUCUGUCAAUAAAGAUGUAAGUCAUUUGUUUGCCAAUUUCCUCAUAAAGAACUCUGACAAGGCCUGUCCCUUCCCCCAUUUCUUUCUUUAAAUGCUGCAAACAAAGGAACGAUCUGGGCCAUUUUCAGAAACUGCACAUCACAUCAUUCUGAGCACCAACUAGAUUACUCAAAUGCAGGAGAGUCUUUUUCUGAAGUGUAGAGAUCAAUGCAUAAGGUAUUUGCAUACUGUGGCACUGCUGUUUUAACAAGGUCCGGACAGGGUUCACAGAGAUAUUGAGACUACCAAUUAAGUAAAUGUGAUUUGAAAUUGAAAGCUUUUUUAGGAGUGCUGUCUUUGGGACUACACCAAGCUUAGAUGAAAAACAAAAAAAUAAAAAAUAAAAAUAAAAAAAUAUUGAGAUAUCUGACAGUAGACUAAAGCUUGUGGUUAAGCCUCUUUGCCCUUCAAAAGGAUCAUAAAAGUAUCCUCAUAUAUAUACUACUGAAUGAUUUCUUAUUUACAAGUGCAUUAAAUCAGUGCUAAAGUGAGAAGGAUAUGUGCUUGAGGGCUACUUGCUUCCAGACUGCAGAGAUGACUAUUUUGAGAUUGUCAUCAAGAUGAUUUACAGUUAUGUGAAGUUUAGAGCCCUACAAGUAAUUCUCCCAUUGAUUAUGUUUACAGAAGGCCUUGCUUUACUUACCUGCUACAGCCCUUUUUCUUAGGUCCCACUUAUGAACAUUUUUAUUCAAAGGGGUAUUCUGAUCUAUUUAUGACAAUCUUUGUUCAUUUUUUUUUUCUCCUGUUGUACUCAAACCCCAUUCAGUUCAGAGUGCACAGUUUGCUAACCUACUGAAGUAAGGGCAAUAAUUAACUCUGCAAUGUACUCACAGAUUUGAAGCCAUUCAUGACCUAAAUAGCUUUUCCAUGGGCCAAUAGCGGUUAAAGCAGUUCUAAAAAAUACGUGGCUAGCUAAGUCUGCAUGGCUAGGAGCAGAGAAAUAAGGUAGAUGAAGGGUAGGAGGAAGGAUCCUAAGAAGGAGGAGUGUGGCCUCCCUCUUUGACAUAAGAAAACUCUCAUUUGGGUUAAGGUACCCUUAAAGCCACAACCACUGCAGGCUCAGUAAGAGAUGUGUGCUUGACGUCUUCAAAUGUGCCUGAUUUAGAGUUAAGCAGAGCAUGGGAGAAGCAGGACAUCCUAUUUCCAUUUUUAAAUUUUGAAUGCUAAGUUAAUGCAAAUUACUGUAAUCCAUCUUUCAUGCUAAAACUGUCUAUUUUGGAAUUUCAUUUUUAAUUUCUAUAACAUGAUUAUUUUUUUCUAGAAAAAUAUUUUUUCCAAAACUUUUAAAAAUACGAGACUGGGGAAUCCCAUGAGAAGUUUUGUUUUGGAUGAAUCAACAUUUUCUGAAAAACCACAACAACAAGACACAAACAAAGCAAACAAAAAACCCAGUCCACUGAAAAAUCCUGCCUUUUCCAAAUUUAACUUGUAGAAAAAAAAAAAAAAAUGGUUCUCUCAGUUCUACAAGUGCCCCUGUCAUAUGUAAAUAAUGUCACCUUCAGAGACAAAAAUGUGCCUCUGCUUCUCUUCAACUGCAUGUUCAGAGCCAGCCCAGUUGGUAGCUGUGUGGCUGGGCUCACUUGUGAAUCAUUAGCAUGGUUGCUGCAUUUCUUCCCACCUGUUCACUGUUGCAAAUGCCAUGAAGUUCUGCUGCUGCCAGCAGUAGCUAGUUCAGUCUGCAGGCUUGCUGAAAGUGGUAGUAAUUCAUGGCUAGGUGAAUAAAUUAGCAAGAGGCAGAAAUCAUUAUUGUUUGUACAUAUAAUACUUUCUGUCAAGAGUCUCUGAGGGAUGACGUGGUGUUUAUUUGUAUAGACUUGAUUUAUAUGCAGUAUCAUGACUUGCAUUGGCACAUCAGCACACUUCUAAGAAACUGAAUUAUACAGGGUAAUUACAUAAUUUACUUACAAUGGGAAGAUUCAUUCUAGGAAGUUUCUUCAAAGAAGUCUAUGCCCUGUUUCUCUAUCACAGUAACAGGCUUUCCACACCACCCUGAAAAAAAUAGCAGGCAUGCCUAAGAGCUACUGACAUCCCAAAGUAAGUGUAUGAUUCCAAAUUAAAGCUCUGCAGCCCCAUAUUUGUCUUUGAAUUUCACAGCUUUUCUUCCCCCUGCCUUUAUUCUGCACUUGCGGUGUGCAUGAAACUACUCUGGCACAUUCUAAGGCAUUUCAUCUUGUGGAGAAGUCCUGCUGAAAGCUGUCAAGGUCUAAAACUGUUUCUUAGCAGCAGAGUCCACAGGACAGAGGCUGUGCCUCCACUAGAUUUAUCAGCUGAGCUGUCCCCUCCAUUGUUUGGUUGCCAGAAUUGCAGAAGUUCAGUUCUGAUCAUGUCUUUCAGCUGUGAAAGGUGCAUAAAGUCCUUUUAGUAAAAAGCCAGGUCCAGGCGUCUAGCUGCACAUAGAUUUAGCCAUUUCCUGCUAUGCUUUAGCAGUUGUGCUCACCACUCCACAUCCUUCCUGCAGGGGCCUCUUUCUGCUCUCCUGUGAGAGCUUUCUUUAUGAGAAAUUAAACUGUGGCUUGAUCUGAUAUUGCCUGGCAGUGAUCCUAUUUUAGGAGCCACAGAAACAAUUGACUGUCUUCUUCCAUCCAUUAUUAUAGAUGCUGCAUGUCAGAGCUAAGCUGUUUUCCCUCUGAAUGUGGCGUUUCUCUGUCAGUGCCUUCUCUGUCGGUGAGCUUUAUCUGAUGAAAACUGUGUUAACCAGAGAAAUGUUUAAAAGGCAGUUAAGAAAAUCAAGAUAUUAUAAAUGGAAAAGUGAGUUAAAGAAUGCUGGAAAAAAUCAUUUGCAUAUACAGACUUGGAAAUUUAUCUUAAACUUCCAAUAUUUCCUAUGUAUGUAAGGAGUAAAUUCAGGGCUUGGGUGCAUGGUCACAGACUGACAACAAUUAUUUUUACUGAGUUAAUGAAAAAAAAAGCAUGCAACAAAAUGCCUACCUUGCAUUACCCUGCUUGAUUAUCUAGAAGGGAAAAACUGAAAAAAUAUUGUUGCUGGAGUAUUUAGGAACAUGGGGUUCAUAAAUUAUUUCUGAAUAGAGCAGAACUAUUUUUGAAUAGAGUAGAUUUUCUGCCUGUUUUUACACGUUCUUACCACUUUGCUUAUGCACAGUACAGUUUCUCGGGUUUUUUAGCUGUAUGUUUUCUGUCUAUGUUCAGGCAAGCAAAUAGCUAUGGCUGGAAUGGUAUUCACUGAAAAAUUACAAGGAAAAAUAUGUUUGUCUUUUUUUGGUCAAAUGCCUAUUCAUGAAAACUAACUUUACUCUGUGAACAGAGCCAAGGAGUUCCAAGUAAUGUCACUGCUAAAUAGGAGCACAAGCUCUUCACCUCCUUAAUCCGUUUUCACCUGAUUUCAGAGUAUGCAGGACAGAUGAUAGAAGAUCAGGACAAUAGGUGCCACACAAUAUGCAACAUGUUUUACUGGGGAGGAAACAUAUAAUUUAAAGAGCACAACCAUUCAUUUUCUUAAGCUGAAAGAAUUUUCUUCAAACAAAUACAGUAUGUAUCAUAACUAAUUUUUACCAACACACCUGAACCACCAAAGAGAGACCUAUAUAUCUGCCAGUCCUAAUGUGGCCAUGAUGUGUGUAUCUAAUCAAAAUAACAACAUUUAUUCUCCUUCAAAUAAAAGGAACAGAUGAUAAUCUGUUGCAGUGGCUGGAGGAACACAUCUGAGGUUCCCCUUGAAAUUGUUUGCUUUAGCUAUGGAGCAUAUGCUAAAAAGAGCUUUUCUGCAUGACUUCCUGUGUUUUCUCACUCCAUCCCUUUUUCUAGAGCCAUCCUCCAACCCUUUCUAUUUGACACUUUUUGUCAAAUUGGCUUAUUUUUUCUCUAAUGGUGUAGGCAUUAUUUCAGUUUCCCUUUUUCAUUGUAAAGUUUUUCUUUUUCCCACCCACCAAAAGAUUGUCUGGUGUUUAGUUGCCUGCUUCUCCCUGACAUUCAUUAGCAGCUGCAUGAAAAAUCUGUCAAUUUGCCACUGCCUCAUGUGCUUCCAGGAGAAACUCUUUCUCCUCCUGAGUAACUAAUGAAGAAAGAGCCAGCUGCAUGUUUCCUUGACUAUCUUGCAGUCUCUCUCAGCUGCCUUUCCUAAAUGUCAGGGACACUCUCCAGUGUGGUUACCAUGGUGCCUUCUGCUGGAAUGGCUGCAAGAGUUCACAUCAGCCAGCAAAACCACUGUACAUUUUAUAGGAACAUACUUUGAUAAAACAACUUACCUGCUAUAUCAUGGUUAAAUGGAACAUAACCAAAGGUGCUUUGGGGUGCAUGUUUUGUAUAAGAUUGGCCCCAAUUUUGUACCAUCUGAAUACAGUCAAUCAAUUAAGAAUAUCCACCUUGUCCUUCCAUUUGUGAUUGUACUGCUGUAUCUAUAGAUGUGUUAUAUGCUGCAUACCUGCUGGGGAGCUUGUCAACUCAGCAGUUCUAUACAUAAAUAUAAAAGCUGAUGAAUAACAGAGGUUUAUGUUAUGCUGCAUUCAUUAACUACCUUCUUUAAGAAGGUCUGAAAACAUUAUUUGUUUCCUCAUAACGUAUUAUUCAAUCUGAAACAAUGUCAUUAG